GACGAACGCUGGCGGCGUGCUUAACACAUGCAAGUCGAACGGAAAGGCUUCUUUCGGGGGGUACUCGCGUGGCGAACGGGUGAGUAACACGUGAGUAACCUGCCCUUGUCUUUGGGAUAACUUCAGUAAACUGGGGCUAAUACCGGACAGGAGCUCCUGCUGCAUGGAGGGGGUUGGAAAGUUUCGGCGGUUGGGGAUGGACUCGCGGCGUAUCAGCUUGUCGGUGGGGUAGUGGGUUACCAAGGCCUUGACGGGUAGCCGGCCUGUGAGGGUGACAGGCGACAUUGGGACUGAGAUACGGCCCAGACUGCUACGGGAGGCAGCAGUGGGGAAUAUUGCACAAUGGGUGGAAGCCUGAUGCAGCAACGCCGUGUGCGGGAUGACGGUCUUCGGGUUGUAAACCGAUUUCGCUCAUGACGAAGCUUUGUGUGACGGUAGUGAGUAAAGAAGCACCGGCUAACUACGUG
rnacentral:rRNA from 1 species